rnacentral:rRNA from 1 species
CCCUUAGAUGUUCGGGGCCGCACGCGCGCUACACUGAAGGAAUCAGCACGUCUUUCUCCUUGUCCGAAAGGACUGGGUAACCCGCUGAACCUCCUUCGUACUAGGGAUUGGGGCUUGUAAUUCUUCCCCAUGAACGAGGAAUUCCCAGUAAGCGCGAGUCAUAAGCUCGCGUUGAUUACGUCCCUGCCCUUUGUACACACCGCCCGUCGCUACUACCGAUUGGAUGGUUUAGUGAGAUCCUCGGAUUGGUCCCGGAGCGGCCUCUGGUCGUGCCGGAGUGCCGAAAAGAAUGUCGAACUUGAUCAUCUAGAGGAAGUAAAAGUCGUAACA